AUGUGCUUGCUUUAGUGACAUAUAUACUAAAACUGGAAGGAUAGAGAGAAGACCAGCAUGGCCCCUGAGCAAGAAUGGCAUGCAAAUUCGUGAAGUGUUCCGUAUUUGG